rnacentral:rRNA from 1 species
CCCGCUGAACUUAAGCAUAUCAAUAAGCGGAGGAAAAGAAACCAACAGGGAUUGCCUCAGUAACGGCGAGUGAAGCGGCAACAGCUCAAAUUUGAAAUCUGGCUCUUUAGGGUCCGAGUUGUAAUUUGUAGAAGAUGCUUCGGGUGUGGCUCUGGUCUAAGUUCCUUGGAACAGGACGUCAUAGAGGGUGAGAAUCCCGUAUGUGACUGGAUGCCUAUGCUCAUGUGAAGCUCUUUCGACGAGUCGAGUUGUUUGGGAAUGCAGCUCUAAAUGGGUGGUAAAUUUCAUCUAAAGCUAAAUAUUGGCCAGAGACCGAUAGCGCACAAGUAGAGUGAUCGAAAGAUGAAAAGCACUUUGGAAAGAGAGUUAAACAGUACGUGAAAUUGUUGAAAGGGAAGCGCUUGCAACCAGACCUGCCUGCAGUUGUUCAUCCGGGCUUCUGCCCGGUGCACUCUUCUGCUGUCAGGCCAGCAUCAGUUCGGGCGGUCGGAUAAAGGCUUUGGGAAUGUAGCUCCUCUCGGGGAGUGUUAUAGCCCGUUGCGAAAUGCGGCCAGCCUGGACUGAGGUCCGCGCUUCGGCUAGGAUGCUGGCGUAAUGGUUGUAAGCGGCCCGUCUUGAAACACGG